CAGGAGUGAAGCUGCUGUCUGAUCUUGUGGAGAGUCCACAUUGUAGACUGGAGACUCUGAGGUGGAAGUGAUAUCUGUCAGAGAGACAGAUGAUGUCUGGAUUCUGGAGGAAAGUUACCAUCUAAUAUUUAAUUUUGUAUAUUGUUAAUUUAAAAAAAAGUGGUAAUUGUUAGGCAAAACACAUUGUUUGUUACACGCUUUCUAUAAUUCAUUGCUUAAUAUACUUCACCUGUAGUACAAAUCUGCAUGGCUACUUUAAGACAUAAUUUAAUAUUGUAAGUAUAAUAUAUACUGUAGAUUUGAAUAGUGUGGUAUCACAAAAUGUAUUUCUUAAUACAUAUUUUGUCACGUGUGUGUACAUAACUGAAUCAAGAAGUAAACAUGUAUAUGUCUUAAGUGAUGUUUAAAACACAAGUAAGAAAGUCUGAACAACCUGAAGUCUCAGCAUGUUUCAGCCUCUUUUCUCAUCAUACUCUGAUUACUGUGUGAACUGUGUUACAACAUUAUUGAUCAUUAUCUCUGUUACAGUUAAUUACAUUUUCAUUAGACUCUGAGCCUAAGACAAAGCUGGAAAACCGUUCUCGACUCUGACUCCUUCACAGAGAAAUAUUUACUGUAUUUCACGAUUAAAGUCAACUGAAUAAAACUUCA